rnacentral:rRNA from 1 species
AGAGUUUGAUCAUGGCUCAGGAUGAACGCUAGCUACAGGCUUAACACAUGCAAGUCGAGGGGAAACGAUAUUGGAAGCUUGCUUCCGAUAGGCGUCGACCGGCGUACGGGUGAGUAACGCGGUAUCCAACCUGCCCACCACUCGGGGAUAACCUUGCGAAAGUAAGACUAAUACCCAAUGACGUCUCUAGAAGACAUCUGAAAGAGAUUAAAGAUUUAUCGGUGAUGGAUGGGGAUGCGUCUGAUUAGCUUGUUAGCGGGGUAACGGCCCACCAAGGCGACGAUCAGUAGGGGUUCUGAGAGGAAGGCCCCCCACAUUGGAACUGAGACACGGUCCAAACUCCUACGGGAGGCAGCA